rnacentral:tRNA from 1 species
CGCGCACCGCGUGGCCGAGCUCGCCGCCCUGAUCGGCGAGCGCCUGGACGGCGACGGCAAGGCGGGGCCGUUCGAAGCGGCCAUGCACCC